CCAUCUUUUGGGUUGGAACAAGAAGAGUGGUUCAGUACGGUACCAUAUGUAAGUAAAGUUAUUCAAAUAGAUUGAAAUAGCAGGAAGUUUACACUAACGACAAGUGAUGGUUUAUGGCAUGUCAUUAGUAUGAAAAAAUCAGUACAACUUGUCCUUCAGACAGAGGAAAGAUACGAAGUAGAGAAUGCGAAUAAUAUGGCCGACAA